rnacentral:rRNA from 1 species
AGCGAACGCUGGCGGCGUGGCUUAGACAUGCAAGUCGAGCGGAAAGGCCCCUUCGGGGGUACUCGAGCGGCGAACGGGAGAGUAAUACCUGGGCAACCUACCUCGAAGACGGGGAUAGCCACUGGGAACGGUGGGUAAUACCCGAUGGUCCCCGAGGGUCGAUGACCUUCUGGGUAAAAGGUUUUCCGCUUCGGGACGGGCCCAGGUCCCAUUAGCUAGUUGGUGCAGGUAAUGGCUCACCAAGGCGACGAUGGGUAGCGGGCCUGAGAGGGUGGCCCGCCUCACUGGGACUGAGACACGGCCCAGACUCCUACGGGAGGCUGCAGUCGCGAAUCAUUGGCAAUGCGCGAAAGCGUGACCAUGCGACGCCGCGUGGGCGAUGACGGCCUCGGUUGUAAGCCAUGCUCAGGGGUGAGGAAAACUGCGGUCUCCGCAGUUGACGUAAGCCCCAGAGGAAGUCACGGCUAACUCCGUGCCAGCAGCCGCGGUAAUACGGAGGUGGCAAGCGUUGCUCGGAAUCACUGGGCUUAAAGGGCGCGUAGGCGGCCUGGUAAGUCGGGUGUG